CAUACGUUUGCCGACUGUCCAUUGUGCUUCGCCCCUUGCCAGGCACUGAGAAAUGCUCGGGCGACAACAAAAGAAAACGAGACCUGGAUCCAAGUCUGGGGAAGCUGACCAUCAGGCUUUACCAUCGACAAGGGGGUGACAGCCCCAUAGCUUGGGUUCAUCUGUAGAGCCGGCCACACAGGCUGCUGUACUGGAGAUGCCGUGGGAGCUGAUGGAAAGCUGAUGGAAAAGUGACCACACAAGCAACUCCCCUGAAGGCACAGGAACCUAUGAGUCUUAAAGGUUUGAAGUUAGAGGUAAAUGGUUCAUCACAGAAGUCUUCUGAAAAUUGAGUUGAGAAGAAAUGUCUGGAGUCAACUGCCCUGGAAGGAGACUGACUGCAAGAUAAAGAUUUUUCUGGGUAUAACUUGCCACUUGCCUCCAGCACAAGUGGUUAGCCCUCUCCCCCUGAGACUCUACUGCAUAAAA